CUCACUGACAUCUUCCGACCAUAUUAUUAAAGUUCGAUCCACCACUAUGUCCGUCAAUAUGUGGUGUGGAAUCAUGUGCAAUCGAAUAAUUGGUCCAUUUUUCUUCAACGAGGCAACAAUUACUGCAGAUGUUUACCUCGACCUUCUGACCGAAUAUGUGGCACCACAACUGAUUGAUUUACAACCAACCAUCAUUUUCCAGCAAGAUGGUGCACCACCACAUUGGGGACGGCAUGUUCGUCAAUUCCUCAAUCAAACAUUUCCAGACCGAUGGAUUGGAAGGGAUAGGCCAAU